UACGAAGGGGGCUAGCGUUGUUCGGAAUUACUGGGCGUAAAGCGCGCGCAGGCGGUCUUCCAAGUCAGUGGUGAAAGCCCGGAGCUCAACUCCGGAACUGCCAUUGAAACUGUUAGACUUGAGGAUGAGAGAGGUGAGUGGAAUUCCCAGUGUAGAGGUGAAAUUCGUAGAUAUUGGGAAGAACACCGGUGGCGAAGGCGGCGAUCUGGGAAGAUACUGACGCUGAGGUGCGAAAGCGUGGGGAGCGAAAGGG
rnacentral:rRNA from 1 species